AAAGCUCAAAAGACCCUUAUUCGAUCAUUUUGCUAUUUAGAACAUAUAACAUUACCCAAAAAACCCUUCGACUCCCUUCGAUUCUACCAUGGAUUUUCCCCUCGAUUCGCACACAAAUUUACCUCGAUAUUUACUGGAUUUCUCCAAUAGUUGAUUCUUAGCUUGUUCGUGGUUGGCUUUUGGCUUAAUUUUCUCUGAAGUUUAAAGAGUUCGUUCGUCGAGAUCAAACAACUGAAUAUUUUAGUGGACAUUUGUAGGUUAGGAUUAUAUUUCUUGACUAAUAUAGUGUAAAAAUAACUGUUUUUUUUAUUUUUACACAUUCGUGUCUUUGUUUGCAUUUUAGGAUUUUUAAUCUGUUCAAUUGAAAAGGUCAGGGUUUGUGGUUAAAUUAGGGUUUUUUCUUAGGAAAUUGCGUUGUCAUAUGUUUUAGUAUGUUCAUUAAACCUUCAUUAUUCCUAAGUAUCUGCUGCAAUUUUUUCACAAAAAUUAGAUCGUUUUGAACUUUGAUCCUGCAUAAGCCACUGUUGCUUAGUGAAAUUGAAUACGUUUUCCUGUUGUACUUGCUUGCUUUGUAUUUUUCAAGUAUGAAUGGGUUUCUUUAAGUGACUUUGAGAUGGUUUUAUAAGUGAAUUUAAUGAGGUAAAAAUAUAUUUUUAAUUAAUCAAAAUUAAGUGAGACAAGUUUAUGUGCAAUAGAUGUCAUGAAUAUGGAGUAGUAUUAAUUUGGUGUAAUACUCGAUGAUGGGAGUAAAGUCUUACUAGCAGAGCAGCAAUAUGAAUUUUUUUUUCCUCGAAUUGAAUUGGCAAAUGAACAAAUUUUAUGGGGUCAAAGACUUACUUUUGUAUUUUUCUUCAUUGAUGCUUCUGACGUUGUAAUUAAUUAUUCGCUAAGGUCAUCAUUAGAACUUAGAAUUCCAUAUCCUAUGCAUCGUUAACGAGAUCAAGUAUAGCAAUUACUAUGCUCACUGGUAUCACCAUAUCCAAUAAUUUAUAAAUAUAAAUUUAAUUUUAAUAAGUGUUCGGUCCACGGUUUGCCAUGUUUGAGGGGCUCUCAUCAGCUAGGAGCUCCGUAUAACUUUUUUUUACUAUUAGCUGACAAGUUCUUUUGCCGCAAAUAAUCGAAGGAAAAAAAUACGAUUGAUUGUCCUGUUUGUGAAAGAAAGUAAGCUUCUUGUGUUCAUUUUCGAACUCCUAUGUUCUUUCUUCCACAACAAUUGGCUUUUAAGAACUACUAGUUGAUAUUGUAAAAUAAUUAUAUUUUUCGUAUCGGACAUUAAAAGUUUACCGUGAAUUGCUUAUACUAAAUUGUAAAGGCCCUUUACUUUCCAAAAUAAUAGACAACACCAAACGAAAAGGGUAUUUCUGUUUAACUCUAUUUAUAUAUUCUCUCCCUACUACCAACCAACCUAUAUUCUAUCUUCCCAACCAACCAACAUAUAUUCUAUCUUCACAACCAACCUCCUAUAUUCUCUUUCCACAAGAAAAUGAAGAAGGGUUUAAGCAAAUUGAUCGACCAAAUAUUUACUUGGGCAAACCAAUGCAACGUACAAGGUUCAACCCUCAAUCAUAUGCAGCUCACCAAACUUGGUGUUUACACCGUUAGGGAGGUAAAACUCUAACUGUGUAAAAGCGAAGCUCGACGAAAAUCGAAAGAGGUGUCAACGUGGUGAAAAAAGCGGCGGGUGGUCUUUGAUAAUGGAAAACAAAAAGAGGAGAAUAAGGAUUAAGUGGAAAAUGUUGAUGAUUAUGAAGAGGAUGACGUUGAUGAUUAGGAAAAACAGUUUUCAGAACACGAUCACACCAGUUCAAAGCCAUCAUUUUCAGAGCACGAUCAUAUAGACGCAGAUCAGCAACUGACUUUACCUAAGUCAAAAGAUCAAGGUAGUGGAACAUCAACUGAGGAGCACCUGGCUGAUCCAAGCGCCUCCAAACAAUCAAUAAUGCAUGGCAAACGGCCUCAAGUACAUCCUUGGACCAACGCUGGAUGAAGCGAACUCGUUCUUCGAUGUCGACCUCCACUCCAACAACAAUACAACCUGGGGGAGCUAGAUAUGCUCGGAGAGAAGGCACCAUAAGUUGGAGCCUAUACAUGAGUACUCCAUUUGUCACGGAAAACGAACCAGCAGGAAGAUAUUGGACAGUGGGCGGUAGGACCUCAAAGAGUCGGGGACCAAAAGCAGCAAUUGUACAUUAACAGCUUGUUCAUCAGGCUGUACGGACAUGUCAAUAGGCUGUAUCGGCACAUCAGUAAGAUGUAAGGCCACAUCAGCAGCCUAAACGGGCACAUCAACAGCUUUAGGUUGGUACUUGCUCUUUUUUUUUUUUUUUUUUUUAACUAUUUUGACUUGCCUUUUGUUAGGGUCAUAUGUAGGGAAGGGUGUCCAUGGUUGUUAUAUGCCAAACUUUACGAUACAACCAACAGUUUCUAGAUCAAAACUUGUCAUCCUAAACACAGAUGUGUUCAUUUAAUUUAAAUUAUUAAUACGUUGAACACUUUCUUGUUACAAACAAACUACCAUAGCUUGACACCUACACCAACUUGACAACAUUACCAAUAACUCCUUGAACACUUUCUUGAUCUUGACAGUUACAUUUCAGAUAGGCAAUAACUUUAGCACUGUAUGCAAAUCUUUUACCCCAAAUUGAGAUCUCCAUGUCCAUUAUACUUCGUUAGUUUUUUUCUUAAAUUGCUAUCAACUAUUAGCUCUCAAUCCGGAUACAAUUCGGGUCCCGAAUCAGUCGGAUUGUGUUUCGUUAAAUCAGCUCGGCUCGGUCCAGCCCGGCCCCUUGACACCCUUAUUUUACGCUAACAAAUAAAUAAAAUAUUCGAACUUAGUAGGUGAUUGGCCAUGAAAAUCAAAUAUUUUCACCUAUAUGAAAUUUGAAGUUAGGGUUGAAAUUUGAAGAUGGAGUUGUGUUGGGUUAUAGUUUUUAUAUAAUAUUUUUUUUAAAUAUUAGUUUGAAAAUGACAAAGAAUAUUUUGUUGUUUGAAUAUAGUGAAAGUGAAAAAAAGUGAAAACAUUAUUUUAGGUGUUUUUCAAAUUUCGAAUACAACUUUAAACGCUGAAGUAUAAUUAUGAAACUAAGAUUCUACUCCAGGUAAAUCAUCACCUUAACCAAAUAGGAAAAAGAGUGAUGGAAAACUAGAAUCUAGAACAAAUUAUCCUGAGCAUACAGCCUACAACAACUCAGCAACUGUGUUUAUACCAUGUUGAACCCUCCUUUCAUCUUGAGUGUUACACUUCUUAUAGGCAGUUGCUUUAGCAUCAUUUGCAUGAUCUCUAGCCAGAAAAAUGAAAUAGAAUACAUUCAAAAUCAAAAUUAUACCAAACUCAAUUUCAAAAGUACAAAAUAAAAUAUGGAUAAGAAUUUUUUUUACCUCAGUAACAAAAGGAUGGCCUUCAGCUACAAAAUAAUAAAACCAGCUAAUGCAAAGAAAUAAUUAAAGAAUUAAGAAACUUA